rnacentral:lncRNA from 1 species
AGGUUGGGUAUUUCCUUCAGCCUAUUAAAGGAAUUGGGAACCUGUGGUACCUUCCUUUGAGUGUCACGGGAGUACCAUCUCUUUACCUUGGCAAGAGCAGAUCCUUCAUAUCUGUAGUUGAAUCACACACUCUCAGAUAUCUGAGCUUGAAUUCUACAGGGACACUUAUCUCAGCUUUUGAGUUUUAGGAGAAAUAGCCUGCAGACCAGAGAAUAAGGAAAAGUUGUUUCCUGCCAAAGAACAAGCAGUAUUGUGAAAUAUAAAAUUUUAUUGUUGCGGUGAAAGAAAAUUUCAGUAUCAAAUUUUUGAAAACAGUAA